UACGGAGGGUGCAAGCGUUGUCCGGAAUCAUUGGGCGUAAAGAGUUCGUAGGCGGCAUAUCAAGUCUGGUGUUAAAGGCAGAAGCUCAACUUCUGUAAGGCACUGGAUACUGGUAAGCUAGAAUGUGGUAGAGGUAAAGGGAAUUCCUGGUGUAGCGGUGAAAUGCGUAGAUAUCAGGAGGAACACCGGUGGCGUAAGCGCUUUACUGGGCCAUAAUUGACGCUGAGGAACGAAAGCCGGGGGAGCAAAUGGG
rnacentral:rRNA from 1 species